UGGUAUUUUACUGGAGGCAUAAUAGUUGUAUGUACUUCAUUUAUCCUUUAGGGCCCGUUUGGUUCGAGUUAUGUAAUAUUACAAAGUAUCUCGACAUAUCCAGGUAUCUUGGAUUUCGGCGUGCGAUUACUACUGAUGCUGUAUUAGAGCGUUUGGUUUAAUACAGUAAUGUAAUACUAGAUUACAGUGUUUAUAGCAUUAAUAUGUUUGGUUCAGUUUAUAAAAUUUAGUAAUCCUGACAUAAAAGUAUAGUUUUUUUCAAAAUUGUCCUUGUUGUGGUCAUUUGAAUAUUAUUUUUUGCGGAAAUAACGAAUGGAGGGAAGGAGAUCGUGAUGAUUACUUGGAAGGACAACGCAAUAGAAGAUGAUAGGUGUUCGUGCGUGAGAGAGAGAGAGAGAGACGUCGAGAGAGAGAGCAAGAGAAAGUGGCGUGCGAGAGAGAAGGCCGGGGGGAAGGAGAGAGAGAUAUGAAAAUAAUGCUGUUAAUUAGAUUUGGGGUUGUUGGAGGGUAAAAUUAUCAUUUUACAUAAUAUGUAGUAUUAACGGGUUUCAGUAAUGCAAGAUACACGACCCCCCUCCCGUUAAUAUUUUCGAUGUAAUCCUGCUCGAUUUGUAAUGCUACAUUAACGACUAAAUUACAUAGCGGAUUAACCAAAUACAGUUAUCCUGGCAGGAUUGCCUGUAAUCCUGCCAGGAUAACUCGAACCAAACGUACCCUUAUUGCAGUAGUAAUUUCCAUUAUUUACUAUCAUUCUACUUUUGCCUUCUUCGAACCGAGUGAGUAUAGAGUGCCACUUUCGGCGGUUACACCUACUGCAAAUUUACUUUAAGUUCUCACUAUGACAUCCCAAUAAUCCCACAUUGGAUAAUGUGGGAGGAUGUGAUGGAUUUAUGAGUGAAUUACUCACUGGUAAUAAUAACUGGACUUAAGUUUUUUGGGCCUGUAGUUUGGGCCCAAUGAGUUAUUAUUGCUAGCGGGUCAAAUCGUUACAUUUGGCAUCAGAGCCUGAUAAUCGGUCGGAAGUGUGAAAUGGAUCUCACAU
rnacentral:lncRNA from 1 species